rnacentral:rRNA from 1 species
CUGGCGUAAAGCGCAUGCAGGUGGUUUGUUAAGUCAGAUGUGAAAGACCCGGGGCGUCAACCUCCGGAAUUGCAUUUGUAAACUAGGCAAACUAAGAGUACUGUAGAGGGGGGUAGGAAUUUCAGGUGUAGCGGUGAAAUAGCGUAGAGAUCUGAAGGAAUACCGGUGGCGAAGGCGGCCCCCUCGGACAGAUACUGACACUCAGAUGCGAAAGCGUGGGGAGCAAACAGGAUUAGAUACCCUGGUAG